UAAUCGGCCUUUUUCAAGGCCAACAAAUGUGUACUAAAGAGUUAAUU
rfam:Aedes aegypti strain Liverpool supercont1.347 genomic scaffold, whole genome shotgun sequence.